UACUGUUUGUGUGGUAGGCACGGUGUUUAGCACAUGGGAGUCUCAGGAAUCCGAACGAAUGCAAUCAGAUGGACCAAUAGAAACUGAAUCUGAAACCAACCCCUUCUUGUCCUCCUCCUCCUCUGCCCCUACUCAAGGUGAAGAUGACGAGCAUGAAGAUGUUGAUGAUAAUCCACUUCUACUUAAUGAACGAUGUGGAAACUGAGGCCUAAGAAUUUAAACAAAUCAUUAAAGGUCACACAAAAAUUGUCAAAGGUGAAAUCCAACUUAUCACAAGUUUUCCAGGACUUUCUCAGUUUGAAAACUGAGGCAGGACAUGGUGGCACAUGCCUGUAGUCCCAGCACCUUGGGAGACUGAGAUGGGAGGACCCCUUGAGCCCUGGAGUUCAAGACCAGCCUGGACAAUACAUACAUAGAUAUGCUGAGUUUGGAGAGGAGAAAACGUGACAAGUGGCUUCAGAUUUUGAGAGACUAGUUUAUGAAGAAGAGGAUAAAGUUAUUUCAUGGUCUACAAAGGCUAAGAUCCCAGAUCACAGGAAAUAAACUACAGAGAAAUAGAAAGACUGAAACUUCCUUGAGAAGAAGUUCCAUCUGUCAGCCCUGAUCAUAACAUCGCCUGCCUUGCAGAAUUCAUCUGAAGCUUUCUUCACUGCCAGAGAGAUCUUCCUGCACCAGCUCCGGUGCUGCCCCUGACAUGAAAUGCUCAAGAUUUCUAGACAUUAAAACACUCUGAAGAAUAGAAAGAUUAUUCAAAAAGAAAAAAUAAUGAUUGUCCUCAAUGUGUGUGUGUGCAUGUAUAUGCACACUUGCCUGUGUAUGCUUGUUUAGGUGAUAAAAAAAUACUGAGAAAAUUUCGAUAAUUGAAACACUAUGGAAUUGAUGCAAGCCAAGAAGCAGACCCAAAUAUACACAGAGAAUGAAAAGUUUAUCCGCUAGAUGGCUUAGGAAAAAAAUGGCUCCUUAGUAAAACAACAAAUGAAGUUAACUAUGGUUUUCGUAUUACACAAACAGAGAACCAAAAACCCAGAUGGCUUAUUUAAAGAAAUAUUAUCAAAUUAAAAAUAAAAGAUCUAGAACAAAAUGCAGGUAAAUAUAUUUUUGGAGUUGGAAAGACAUUUUUAACAAAGAAAGAAAACAAAAGAGGAAUAGAUUUGAAUGCAUAAAAUUGGAACACAAAUUUGAAACUGAUUUUCAUCUUUGAGACAAUGCUGGUGAAUUUCCAACGUUAGUGGAAUAUAAGAAAUACAUAUUCUUAUAUAAUGCUGGAUGGACUAUGAAGUAUACUUAUAUUACUGAAGUGUGAUUUCGCAACGAGAUCAAAAGCCUGUAAAUUUUGUGUGCUAUUUAACACAGCAGUUAAAUUUCCAAAAAUUGGUUUUGAGAAAAUGAUUAUAGAUGUAGGCUAAUAUUAUUUUGCAAAAAAUAAGUAGAAGCAAUUAAGUAUUCAACAGUAGGGAAUUAAUUUAACAGAUCAUUGUGCAUUAAUGUGAUGGAAUACCAUUCACCUAUUAAAAUGACUAAUAAGGUUCUUUAAUGGUAAAAAGAAAUAUUGACAAUAUAUUGUUAAGUAAAGUAGAAUUGCAAAUGUGAAUCCUACUUUAAAGACUGGAAGUUUAAUUGUAAAAAAUUAAUAGUGGUUAUCCUUGAGUUUAGGUAUUAUUGCUUGUUUGUAUUUUCAUAUUUUUAUCAGUAAACAUAUUUUACUUCUGAAAUCAGAAAGAAGAGUUAAUAAAAGAACAGAAUCCCCUUACAGACCAAAGUAGCAUCGUUGUCAUUAUUAAAAAUGAGCAGAUGCUAAUAUUAACAACUGUGCAAAUUAAGGUUAUGUUUUAAGUACUGUUAAUAACUAUUCUUUUUCUCUGUUGAAUUAGGUCUCUUAAAGUUUUUAAAAAAGUACUCGAAGAAACAUGUUGAACAAUACUUUAGUAGUCUAAAUAGAGAAAAUGGCUCUUUAUAUUUGUAAAAAUAGGCCAAAUUACCCUGUGAUAACAAACAACCCUGAACCUCAGUGUUUUUAAAUGUGAAGGCUUAGUUCUCAUUCGGGAUAAAUUUCUAUUGCGGAAUUUUGAAUGGAGCUGGGGAAGUGGGAGAUCAGCCCAUCUUGGUCACUCAGAGAUCCACCGUCUUGAAUGUUGUCAGAAACUGACACAGUUAAAUGAAAUGCAACAGGAUCUCAUACUGGCUCAGAAAUGCGUAAGAUGGAUUUGCUUACAACACAUAGGCCAAAACUACCUAUAUGGCCCCAUAAAUCACAAAUGGCCAGGACGGCAGAAAGCCAGAAAUAUUUGGUGAAUAGCAUUUAUAACUUCCUUCUUUCCUGACUUGGACAGUGAGUCUACAACUAAGAUCUGAAGAGUAGGAGGCUGUGAUCUGGCAGUUACCUUGAGAAAAGCUGAAACAAUUAGCAGAAGCAAAGAAAAAGAGAAUGCAACAGAGAAAAUAUGAGCAUAUUUCUAGGGGAGCUUAAAUCUCCUGCCUUUCUUUCCUCACUCUGGUCAACAUGAAAUUCUACAGGCUGUUCUUUGAUAAUGUGAUUCACUUCAAUGAUUACA